rnacentral:rRNA from 1 species
GAUCCUACGGGAGGCAGCAGUGGGGGAUAUUGCACAAUGGGGGGAACCCUGAUGCAGCGACGCCGCGUGGGCGAUGGAGUGCUUCGGCAUGUAAAGCCCUAUCAGCGGGGAAGAAAAUGACGGUACCUGACUAAGAAGCCCCGGCUAACUACGUGCCAGCAGCCGCGGUAAUACGUAGGUGGCGAGCGUUGUCCGGAUUUACUGGGUGUAAAGGGCGUGUAGGCGGGAGAGCAAGUCAGACGUGAAAUUCCAGGGCUCAACCC